AAUGAACGUUGGCGGCGUGGAUUAGGCAUGCAAGUCGCGCGAAAAGCGUAGCAAUACGUGGAAAGCGGCGUAAGGGAGAGUAAUCCAUGGUUAGCUACCCUCGGGACUGGGAUAGCGGCGGGAAACUGCCGGUAAUACCAGAUGACAUCUUCGGAUCAAAGGUGUGAAUCCGCCCGGGGAGGCGACCAUGUCCUAUCAGCUUGUUGGCGGGGUAACGGCCCACCAAGGCGAAGACGGGAUGGGGCGUGAGAGCGUCGCCCCCACCUC
rnacentral:rRNA from 1 species